UACAGGGGGUGCAAACGUUGCUCGGAAUCAUUGGGCGUAAAGCGCACGUAGGCGGUUCGUUAUGUCGGAUGUGAAAGCCCUUGGCUUAACCGAGGAAGUGCAUCCGAAACUGGCGAGCUAGAGUACUAAAGAGGAUCGCGGAAUUCCCGGUGUAGAGGUGAAAUUCGUAGAUAUCGGGAGGAACACCGGUGGCGAAGGCGGGUCUCUGGGCAGUAACUGACGCUGAGGAGCGAAAAGCGUGGGGAGCGAACAGG
rnacentral:rRNA from 1 species